rnacentral:misc_RNA from 1 species
UCCGGCUUAUCACCGGCAGUUUCGCUAAAGUGCCCAGCCAAACCUGAUGGCAACUAGCAAUAAGGGUUGCGCUCGUUGCGGGACUUAACCCAACAUCUCACGACACGAGCUGACGACAGCCAUGCAGCACCUGUGUAGAAGCCAGCCGAACUGAAGAAGGAUAUCUCUACCCCUCAAACUUCCCAUGUCAAAAGCUGGUAAGGUUCUGCGCGUUGCUUCGAAUUAAACCACAUACUCCACCGCUUGUGCGGGUCCCCGUCAAUUCCUUUGAGUUUUAAUCUUGCGACCGUACUCCCCAGGCGGAAUGCUUAUUGCGUUAGCGACGACACUGAUGGAUUCCUCCACCAACAUCUAGCAUUCAUCGUUUACAGCGUGGACUAC